rnacentral:rRNA from 1 species
CACCGGCGGCCCGAGUGGUAACCGCUUUUAUUGGGUCUAAAGGGUCUGUAGCCGGCCAAGUAAGUCCCUUGGGAAAUCUGGCAGCUUAACUGUCAGGCUGCUAGGGGAUACUGCUAGGCUUGGGACCGGGAGAGGUGAGAGGUACCUUGGGGGUAGGGGUGAAAUCUUGUGAUCCUCGGGGGACCACCAGUGGCGAAGGCGUCUCACCAGAACGGGUCCGACGGUAAGGGACGAAAGCUAGGGGCACGAA